rnacentral:lncRNA from 1 species
CCACUCCGAAGUAUAUAGCCCAAAACCUUAGCUGACCCAAACUGGAAGGGGCGGAACCGGCGAUCAGUGAUGUAUUUGGGGUCAGAAGCCUCACCCCCUACCAGACAAUGUUUCGCUAGGGCCUCUCGGCGAGCCCGGAGCUCGGCCACAGCUGUCUGCAGCCGGCCCUGGCCGUAUUUCUCUAUCCGUGCCCAGAGACUGCGGUUGAAGUGGACAUAGAGAGCCCAGUCCAGGUUGUUCCAGGCUCGGGCCCUGCUUAUGUCCAGCCUGGGCAUUGUGCAUGAAGCCCACCACGUCAUCUAGACCCCAGCACAGGGCAUCUGCCAGCAGAACCAAUGACUCAUCGAAGUACUCAGCCACCAUGACCAGGUCAAAGACAGAGUCCAGCCAUGCCAGACCCCACUGGAUGAAGGAUGAACUCUGGGGGAAAGGGCAGGCCAAAGUCAAACCAUAGUAAGUUGCGAGCGUAGUGGUCCCCACGGGCCCCAGGCCUGUAGAAGCCUCGAGGAUUGGCCAGGAAGGCAGCCAAAGAUGGUGACUUGCGGAAGGCUGAUGAGGUGGAUUUAUAGUAGGAGAAGGCAGAGCGAGCCAGAGCCGCUGGGUCUCGGACAAUGGAAAAAAAGAAGCUGUCAGAAGGCAUGACCUGAAGUACCUGCAGAG